UGCCCUUGACUCGUGGAAUAAGCGNUGGAAACGACGUCUAAUACUGGAUACUCAGCUUCAGCCGCAUGGCUAGGAGUUGGAAAGAUUUUCGGUCAAGGAUGGACUCGCGGCCUAUCAGGUAGUUGGUGAGGUAAUGGCUCACCAAGCCUACGACGGGUAGCCGGCCUGAGAGGGUGACCGGCCACACUGGAACUGAGACACGGUCCAGACUCCUACGGGAGGCAGCAGUGGGGAAUAUUGCACAAUGGGCGAAAGCCUGAUGCAGCAACGCCGCGUGAGGGACGACGGCCUUCGGGUUGUAAACCUCUUUUAGUAGGGAAGAAGCGAUGUGCUUGUCACAUCAUGACGGUACCUGCAGAAAAAGCACCGGCUAACUACGUGCCAGCAGCCGCGGUAAUACGUAGGGUGCAAGCGUUAUCCGGAAUUAUUGGGCGUAAAGAGCUCGUAGGCGGUUUGUCGCGUCUGCUGUGAAAACCGGGAGGCUCAACCUCCGGCCUGCAGUGGGUACGGGCAGACUAGAGUGCGGGUAGGGGAGAUUGGAAAUUCCUUGGUGUAGCGGUGGAAUGCC
rnacentral:rRNA from 1 species